rnacentral:rRNA from 1 species
AACGAACGCUGGCGGCAUGCCUAACACAUGCAAGUCGAACGAGACCUUCGGGUCUAGUGGCGCACGGGUGCGUAACGCGUGGGAACCUGCCCUUAGGUUCGGAAUAACUCCCCGAAAGGGGUGCUAAUACCGGAUAAUGUCUUCGGACCAAAGAUUUAUCGCCUUUGGAUGGGCCCGCGUUGGAUUAGCUAGUUGGUAGGGUAAAAGCCUACCAAGGCGACGAUCCAUAGCUGGUCUGAGAGGAUGAUCAGCCACACUGGGUCUGAGACACGGCCCAGACUCCUACGGGAGGCAGCAGUGGGGAAUAUUGGACAGUGGGCGAAAGCCUGAUCCAGCAAUGCCGCGUGAGUGAUGAAGGCCUUAGGGUUGUAAAGCUCUUUUACCCGGGAUGAUAAUGACAGUACCGGGAGAAUAAGCUCCGGCUAACUCCGUG